GUCCACGCCUAACGAUGAUGACUAGUUGUUGGAGGAGUUAAUCCUUUAGUAACGCAGCUAACGCGAGAAGUCAUCCGCCUGGGGAGUACGGUCGCAAGAUUAAACUCAAAGGAAUUGACGGGCCCGCACAAGCGGUGGAUGAUGUGGUUUAAUUCGACGCAACGCGAAACCUUAACCUACCCUUGACAUGUACGGAACCUCAUAGAGAUGUGAGGGUGCCCGAAAGGGAGCCGUAACACAGGUGCUGCAUGGCUGUCGU
rnacentral:rRNA from 1 species